GAAGACUCUCUGGAAGCUUCAGCUGGUCCAGAAAGCAAUAGCAUCAGCAGUGAUGACCAUGCCCUGGUGCCUAUCUUCUACAAAGUUCCCUCUGAGAUCCAGGCAGCACCUACCCUGAUGGCAUUCUGAAAGACCUUAAAGAUAUGGCUAUUCUGCCAGGCUUGGGCUACGGUGGUUGGAGCCCUUUACCAAUGGAAGCAGGAAAGGCAAGAAGGAGGCUGCAAGGAUAAUAUUAUAGCUGAACUCCAGAUAGGAAGAGAUUAAUUUAUUUCUGAGGUGAGUCCUUGUGUUUUACUUCUGAAGGUUGGCAGCAUCUUGUUUCUUAGCGUUUAGUCAAUUCAUAUUUAUUGUGUGAUUAUGAGUAUAUUCUGUUCCCAUAAAAAUGUACAUACAUAAAAAUACCAGAGGAGUCCACAGCAGGCCUAAAUGAUUAACACAUUUUUCUUUCAAAAGAAGUGUGAAAAAAUCAUCUGCAGAGAAGAGAGAAGGUGGAUUUCCACCCUGCCCCAAUCUCCAGAGGAGCUGCCUCUAUUGGCUGUUUUCUUUCAGAUCUGUAAAAUCCCCAGAGUCACAGAUGAACCAAAGCUUUCCAGUUUGUUCCACGGCUAUAGUUUUUCUUGAAGAAAAACUUGCAAAGAACUAUCCCAGUCCAAUUCGGGUUAGCCUUUUGAAAUCCAUCAAGGUCAUCUCGGGUGCAGCCACUUAGCUGUGGUAUAAUAUUGAACAAAAGCGUGUUAAGAAUUCAGGCCCUCUGAAAUAACACAUAAUUUUAAAAAAAAUAUAUGUUGAAGAAAUAUUUAUGAAACAACUCGUUUACACUUAGGAAACUAUUUUGUAAAAAAAGAUUCUGAUCAAGUUAAGUUUAUGUGCUUGUUUUUACUUGAAUAGCUAUUAAAAAACAGCCUAUGUUUCUCUAAA